AUGGCCGAGUCGAAGAACCACACGGCGCAUAACCAGUCGUACAAGGCGCACAGGAACGGCAUCAAGAUGCCCAAGCGCCAGCGCCAGGCCACCACCAAGGGGGGGUACAUGGACCCGAAGUUCCCGAGGAACCCAAGGUACUAG
rnacentral:rRNA from 1 species